UACGGAGGGUGCAAGCGUUAAUCGGAAUUACUGGGCGUAAAGCGCACGCAGGUGGCUGAGUCAGUCGAUUGUGAAAGCCCUGGGCUUAACCUGGGAAUUGCAGUCGAUACUACUCAGCUAGAGUAUGGGAGAGGGUAGUGGAAUUCCCGGUGUAGCGGUGAAAUGCGUAGAUAUCGUAAGGAAGACCAGUGGCGAAGGCGGGUCUCUGGACAGUUCCUGACGCUGAGGCACGAAGGCCAGGGGAGCAAACGGG
rnacentral:rRNA from 1 species